rnacentral:rRNA from 1 species
AUUGAACGCUGGCGGCAUGCUUUACACAUGCAAGUCGAACGGCAGCACGUAUUAGGAAACUAAUAUGGUGGCGAGUGGCGGACGGGUGAGUAUAACAUCGGAACGUACCCAGUUGAGGGGGAUAACCUAGCGAAAGUUAGGCUAAUACCGCGUAAGCUUGAGAAAGGAAAGCAGGGGAUCUUAGGACCUUGCGCGAUUGGAGCGGCCGAUGACUGAUUAGCUAGUUGGUGGGGUAAAGGCCUACCAAGGCUACGAUCAGUAGCUGGUCUGAGAGGAUGAUCAGCCACACUGGGAAUGAGAGACGGCCCAGACUCCUACGGGAGGCAGCAGUGGGGAAUUUUGGACAAUGGGCGAAAGCCUGAUCCAGCAAUGUCGCGUGGGUGAAGAAGGCCUUAGGGUUGUAAAGCCCUUUUAGCGGGGAAGAAAAGGUAUUUGCGAAUAGUGGAUAUUGAUGACGGUACCCGCAGAAAAAGCACCGGCAAACUACGUGCCAGCAGCCGCGGUAACACGUAGGGUGCGAGCGUUAAUCGGAAUUAUUGGGCGUAAAGAGUGCGCAGGCGGAUAGAUAAGUCAGGUGUGAAAUUCCCAGGCUCAACCUGGGGACAGCACUUGAAACUAUGUAUCUAGAGUGUGGCAGAGGGAGGUGGAAUUCCACGUGUAGCAGUGAAAUGCGUAGAGAUGUGGAGGAACACCGAUGGCGAAGGCAGCCUCCUGGGCCAGCACUGACGCUCAUGUACGAAAGCGUGGGUAGCAAACAGG